CCGCCGCCGCCACAAUAUCAUUUCAUGGUCGGACAUCGUGCUAGUAGUACGUAACGAAUGUGUAUAUAUUAUUUUAUGAGUAAAACAACAAGCCAUUUUAUUGUGUUCUUUGUUUAAAGUGUUUAAACUCUUCUUCAUAAACGACUGGAAAGAAAUGGAGAACGACUCUUUGCCCAUAUAUCCUAAAGUAUAUCCCUCGGCUCAGAUUCAAAAGAAAAUGGAUAGCACCACUAUUCCAUUGACAACUCAACCUUCUUUUAAUCAAGUAAUGGUGAGUAAAUUAUCUAUGUUGGGA
rnacentral:lncRNA from 1 species